rnacentral:lncRNA from 1 species
UGGAGGGUAGACCAGGAGGGGAAUGAAGUCUGAACUGUAAAAAAAAAAAAAAAAAAAAAAAAAAAAAAAAAAAAAAGAUUAAAGAAUAAAGAAAAAAAAAAAACAAACCCUAUCUCAGGUUCCUAUGUAGCGACCUGUUGUGUGUCCAGCCAUUCAUUCCCCCAGCAGUUUUAGUCUGUCUCAUUCCAUAUCCUGCUCACCCUAUGCAUUCUUCCUUAGUUGCUAGGGACAUUUUAGCUUCUGUAACUGGUUUCUUCCUCUAGAACGAUCAGACAUUUGCUACUCAGGCCUCCCUUGGCAGUUUGCUCAUUUGCUAUCUUGUGUUCUAAUGGAAGUUUGCUCAUGACUCUGAUGUAACAAAUUCCUCAUCAAGAGAAAAGUGGUCUGCUAGCAAUAAAACUGUCAUGUUUAUAACAGCCAACUUAGCAGCACCAAGCAUAUGAUAAAGAAUGUAUUACGGAAGUGUAUAUAGGGUGAAGCGAAAGGAAAAGAGACAUUACCAAGGUUUUAUGUACAGCUAUGGAAACUCAUGUAAUUUACUCGAUGUGCUGUGUGCUUUUAGCAAAUGCUAGGAUUUAUUCCUGUUUCCUUUUGAUAGUCUGAAGAAAAUAAUGAUAAAACAUAGUUUGGUACCUUCAAAUAAGUUAUAGUUCACUGGGAAAAUUAGUUACAAAUUGAUGUUGUAAAAUACUAAAUACAACUUCAGUUUCUGGCAAAGAUGGAAGUACCCUGUUCUUUUCUGGUCCUCCUCAUAAAUGAAAGCAUGGGAGGUAAAAGAGGAUUGUAAAUGGUGGCAAAACAAAACAAAAAAAACAAAAAAAACAAAACAAAACAAAACAAAAACAAGAGGCUCGGACUUGAAUAAUAACAUAGAAUUCCUCUGGAUUUCCUACUUACUUCCUGUAUGUCUCUGGGUUCUGCAGAAGUCACCAACCUGAGAUGUUCACAAACCACAGAAAGGUGACAUUGAAAAUCCUGCUUCCUCUAGGAGAGGGAAAGACAUGGAUUAGCAAUAAGAUGUUUUGACAAUGCCCAACCUAAUGCCAGUCACACACCACCUGAAAAGCCCUCUUUCCCCAUGCACAUAUAGAGUCCUCCUGAGGAUGAGCAAGAUGUUAAUGUUGGGUUGAAAACCAUUGGAAUGUGAGCUGUGAUGCUCUGUUUCCCACACUGUGAUGAUCAUGGAGUCCAGCAGUGAGUCAGUCUUCCAUCCUGCUAACUGGGGACAAGCAGCCCUCAUUCCUUGAGCUAGAUCUGGGGAAGUGGCUGAUCUUUCCUCGAUGUGUGCUAAAGCCUUGAUGGUACUCUUAUUCUCUUGCCUAAUAGGGUCAGCAGGACCAAGCAAGGAGAUGUUCUGUGCCUUUCUCAGUGGAAGAGCCAUGCUCUGUUUCUCUCCCGGGGUUGGGUUAGAACAGCCAAGGGAGGGGAUGGCCUCAUUGCCAUCCAAUGGAAGAGAUGUUUGAAUUUCCCUAUUAAGCUAUGACAGAGUUGAACUUGGAGCUGAUGAUCUUCUAGUCCCUAUCCAAUUCAUGGAGGCCUAUAGUCUGCUUUGUUUUAAGU